GUCUGUGGCCAUACCACCCAGAACGCACUCGAUCUCAUCUCAUCUCCAAAGCUAAGCUAAGCAUGGUUGGCCUGGUUAGUACUUGGAUGGGAGAAAACUGUUAUCCUACC
rnacentral:rRNA from 1 species